GAAGGGUGUAAUGGCGGCGCUGAGGCGGUGUCAGGGGGAGGCGCGGCUCAAGCGCUGUUUGUGGUGUGAAAUCCCAUGAACAAAUCUCGACCAGCCACAGUCAGUCCAGGAAUGAGGCGCUGCUUUUUUAUGGAAAAAAGCUUAAAAAGAACUGAGAGAAGAUAAAUCCUGAUGAGUUAUGGGUUUGGAGCACCUUGAAGAUUCCCA